GCCAAAGAAAGUGAAAGAACUCGGGAAGCAUUGGGAAGGCAACCAUCUGUGCUUGAUGUUGAGCACGGAGGGGCUCGGGUGGAAAGACACGGAGUGUCGCUUUGCCGGUUUCAGGAAACAAGCAACAGAAGCUUCUAUCCGACCCACAAGGACAUGAACGCCUACGACAACUGUGGGAAUAUUGCUCGAAGUCUUAGCCCAGAACUCAGCCCAGUGACUCGAGGUUUCUGCUUUGUGAAAUGCCGAGAGGAGAACUCAGUCAGGUGUGUUUGUAGCAUGCCAGAUUCUUGACUGUACAGCUGUAAGCUAACCAAGAAUGAAGCACAGAAGGGCCUGUUCAACUCCACUGUUGGAUGUCACAGAACUAUCUAAGAGGUCCCUGGGGAUGAAAAGCAAGCACUCAGUUGCUGAUGAGGAGAGCGUGUGGAGGGGACACCAGAGCAUCUCUAAAACACGUCGAAGAUGGAAGGAAAAUAAGAACCUUGAAGAUCCUUUUAGGAUUUCCCCAGUGAACACAGAUAUACAUCUGAUAAUUUUGAUUUUUGUCUACUGACUGCAGA
rnacentral:lncRNA from 1 species